rnacentral:sRNA from 2 species
CCGACAUACACGCCUAAUCCCCGACCGGGGAACGGAGGAACCAGCUUUUAGGGGUUAAUCCAGGCCUCGACCCACUUCGGUCGAGAGUUUGGACGGGCCACGCUCUUUGAGCCCGAACCCGUCAGCUAACU